UACGGAGGGGGCUAGCGUUGUUCGGAAUUACUGGGCGUAAAGCGUACGUAGGCGGCUUUGUAAGUUAGAGGUGAAAGCCCGGGGCUCAACUCCGGAAUUGCCUUUAAGACUGCAUCGCUAGAAUCAUGGAGAGGUGAGUGGAAUCCCGAGUGUAGAGGUGAAAUUCGUAGAUAUUCGGAAGAACACCAGUGGCGAAGGCGACUCACUGGACAUGUAUUGACGCUGAGGUACGAAAGCGUGGGGAGCAAACAGG
rnacentral:rRNA from 1 species